AGUCGAGCGAGAAAGCCCGCAAGGGUGAGUAAAGCGGCGCACGGGUGCGUAACACGUGGGUAAUCUGCCCUGGAGUCUGGAAUAACUCGCCGAAAGGCGUGCUAAUGCCGGAUAAGACCACGGGAGCUUCGGCUCCUGCGGGAAAAGGUGGCCUCUGUACACAAGCUAUCACUUCAGGAUGAGCCCGCGGCCCAUCAGCUCGUUGGCGGGGUAAUGGCCCACCAAGGCUACGACGGGUAGCUGGUCUGAGAGGACGAUCAGCCACACUGGAACUGAGACACGGUCCAGACUCCUACGGGAGGCAGCAGUGGGGAAUCUUGCGCAAUGGGCGAAAGCCUGACGCAGCAACGCCGCGUGUGUGAUGAAGGUCUUCGGAUCGUAAAGCACUGUCGCGAGGGACGAAUAAGGGGCGGGCUAACAUCCCGUUCCGAUGACGGUACCUCGAGAGGAAGCACCGGCUAACUCUGUGCCAGCAGCCGCGGUAAUACAGAGGGUGCAAGCGUUGUUCGGAAUUAUUGGGCGUAAAGCGCGUGUAGGCGGCUUUGUAAGUUGGGUGUGAAAGCCCUCGGCUUAACCGAGGAAGUGCGCCCAAAACUGCAUGGCUUGAGUACCGGAGAGGGUGGCGGAAUUCCCGGUGUAGAGGUGAAAUUCGUAGAUAUCGGGAGGAACACCAGCGGCGAAGGCGGCCACCUGGACGGAUACUGACGCUGAGACGCGAAAGCGUGUGGAGCAAACAGGAUUAGAUACCCUGGUAGUCCACGCCGUAAACGAUGAGCGCUAGGUGUUGUGGGUGUUGACCCCUGCAGUGCCGCAGCUAACGCAUUAAGCGCUCCGCCUGGGAAGUACGGGCCGCAGGCUAAAACUCAAAG
rnacentral:rRNA from 1 species